UACGUAGGGCGCAAGCGUUGUCCGGAAUUAUUGGGCGUAAAGAGCUCGUAGGCGGUUUGUCGCGUCUGUCGUGAAAGCUUGGGGCUUAACCCUAAGUCUGCGGUGGAUACGGGCAGACUAGAGGCAGGUAGGGGAGAACGGAAUUCCCGGUGUAGCGGUGAAAUGCGUAGAGAUCCGGAGGAACACCAGAGGCGAAGGCGGCCCACUGGGCUGCACCUGACGCUGAACCGCGAAAGCCAGGGGAGCGAACGGG
rnacentral:rRNA from 1 species